AUAGUUAAAAGCUGCAUAAGUUUGAAAGUGAUUCAUUUAAUGUAAGUUAAUUCAUCUGAGUUAAUUAAAAAUGUUAAUACAACAAUCAUUUAAUGUUUAAGAUUAAAAGUAUGCUGACAGAAAAUUCAUGUCGCUGCCCCUUUAAGGGACUAGUGGCGCUAGACGCAGCACCUCACUGACGCUGCAGCAGAGACCUGAGAGAGCAGAGGAGAAAUCGGAGAGAACGAAUGUCUGUUAGUGAGUAGAAAAAAAAGAGUGAAAAAGUAGAUUUUGUAGUUGAAAAACAUAAUUUACCUGGUCGGGAACUGACAGGGAUUUUAUGAGAACUAAGCCACACCGGUUUUGGUCAGGUUUUUUGCUUGGUUUGAAGCUCGGUCGGAGCGAGGAUUGGUCUGCAGUGUGCGGGCUUGCACAUGCACAGACGGGAUUCAAGAUGGCGAGUCAGACCCAGAACUUCAACUCAUCUUCUCCAUCGCAUCAGUGAGGAAAUCUCCUGCAUGUGGUGACUCGCUGCCAGAGUGGUAGGAGUAUCAGGAAUUGGUUUUGAACUGAACUGGAAACUGAUUGAAUUAUUAUUUUUGGACUGAAUCGAACUGAAACUCUUCAUUGAACUGAAUAAUCGAACUUGCAUUUGGACUUGAGCUUGAAUUUAAGGUGUCAUGCUUUUGUUUACAUAUUGAGUUCAUAUGUUUAAAUGUGAUUUGAAAUGUUUGUGGUCCACUUUGAUUUGAUUGUGUAAAUUGAUGGUAUUUUCUUACCCGUAAAAGAAAGGGAAAAGAGUUAACUCAGGAAGUAAAAUAGGAAUCUUAAAAUAGGUGCAACCUAGGAAAAAAACCGGUCUAACUUAGAUUAGCUUUAUUAAAAUAACUUAGGUGAACUAAAGAACAAAAAGAGAGUGAAAUACAUUUUCAAUUAUUCAAUAUUAAGAACCUGCAGGGUAUUUUUGUUUUGUAUACUGUAUUUUAUGUGUGUUUUUACAUCAAGUAAAUUGCCGGCCUUUUGUAUUUAAAGCAACGGUCUCUGGUGUAAUUAUUAUUUUGCUCCCCACUCCUUAGAACCUAGAACUGGUCCAGUAGCGCAGUUAGUGGUGUGAUACCGGUGCUACACUUACAUGUGCUCACCUGCUGUGUAGUGUGAGAUUGUAUAGUAAAUUACAGUCUGGCAAGAUGUUCAGUUCAAAACAACCUUAGGCACAUUCAAGUCUCCCUCCCCUUUUGCUUUUUGGGUGCCUUAUCCGUGACUGUUAGCUAAUUUAUUGUAUGAAAACCAGCCUGUCUACUAUAAUAAACAAUCAACGUAUAUAGUGGACGUGAAAAGUACAUUAAGGACACCUUUACCUGCCCUGAUUAAUGAUGUUGUUUCUUUUCAACAUCGAGCAUCUGGUGCAGCACGCUCUCACAGAUCGUGCACCCGUGGGAGUCAGGACCCAGAGGGGACGGCAGGUCAAAGGGCACAUGUACAUAGCAGGGUGUCAUGCUUUGUGAGGUUCCCCAUUUCCCAUUCAACAACACUGUCAUUAACCUUCAGUCACGGCUAUCUGAUGGUAAAGCUCAUUGGAGCAGCAACUCAUUUGCUUAAUAACGACCCUAUCUGCGAAUGAGGUAUGGAAAUAGGAAGUCAAUCAGCAAAGAAGAGAGAGAGUGAGCAUAUCGUUGCCUCAUUAACAUGGGGUGGUGUGUGUAGAGUGAGCCUGGCAGCACCUGCUUGUUUAUGGAAAUGGAUAAAUGCAAUGUUUAGGAACUGUUUUUGUUUAAAUUGCUCUAUAUUUGACUGAAAAAUGCUAAUAGUGCACAGAGUAACGUUAAGACUGAUCUGGGUGACUUUUACUUUUGAAGUGUCAGAAGGCAGGCUGUGGCGUUUCAAGCUAUUUCUUUCCCUGUUAUAUUAUUAUUUGAUGCCAAGUUCAAGAGUUGGACUGUCACCUCAGUAAUAAGCCAGAUUUGCGAGUAACGUGCUGCCUGGCUGCAGCAGAAAGCGUAUAGCUGAGGUUUGUCACAGACAGACACAGACAUUAGUCUUCGGCCCAAUCUGCCUCUGAUGCCUGAUGAAUUGGCAGGCCACAGUGGAGAUGGCAGGCAGGCGGCCAUAGUACAGCAAUUAUCAAUCACACACGCUGUUGGGCCACGCUCAUUUUUCACACCACCAUUGUCAAACGGGAUGGAUGUUGCGCAGGUGGAUUGAUAGGCAGUAAAAGCGGUAUUGUCUUAUUCAUCUUCAAAAAGUUAAUCUUUGUGGUUGCUAUCUUUGAAUUUAAAAGACACUAUUCUUUCUUAUAAAAAACAAAUGUCAUGUGAAACAUUGACAGUGAUUCAUUAAGUAUGACAGCAUCACUAAUAUUAACCAGAUCUCACCAAACAAUUUAUCAGCCAGCCACUAUACUAGACCCAGACUUAAAAAGCUCCUCAAGGCACUUUAUCUGACUCCAGAGAGGUACUCAUUGCCACUUCUCUAGCAGUUGCUGGACCAACUGUUAAGUCUGACAGUCAGUAGAUAACUGUAUUAUAGUUCUCUAAAAGCAGCAAGGGAGAAUGUGUUGGAGUAAAUUGCCAACCACAGGUAAUUUGGGCCUCAUUUCAAUUAUAAGAGUUUGGGGUUGUAUGAGAAGUUAAUGGUGUCUGUGAAUCUAUUUGUUCAAUAAACAUACAUAAUGAAGCCAGAAUGAGCAAUCAGAGGCGGCAUGGCAAAUGGCUCAAAGUAUAACUGACAUCAAACAAGAGAGACAGAAAGAGAGGGAGAGAGAGAGAGAGAGAGAGAGUGAGAGAAGGGAGAGGGCUUUAAUUACAUUUGAUAGGGAGAGAUGGCCCCAGAAAAACAAUUUGAAGUAUAUUAUGAACCUAUAAAUGGUUUUGACAACAUGUUUGAGUGUCUUUAUAGAGCUACAUAAGAGACACUAGCUUUAAAAGCCCCUUCCACAUAAUGCUUAGACUACAGAUAUCUCUUCCCGUCCUUACACGACAUUGAAUGGACUAAAUAUAGGCAGUGCAAGCAACCUGAUUAUGGCUGGAGAGCAUAAGAAAACUUAAGUGAUAGAUGUGGGCAUCAGGAUAGGUGUCAGACGACCUCGUAAAAAAAGGAAUAGAUUGGCUGGGAACUGGGAAUAACUGACAAAUAGUCCUUAUCAUUUGUCUGCAAGUUUCUCCUUGUUACACUGGCAUGGGAAUAAAGAAAGAAAGGUAUUCAAAGGUUAUACAAUAAACUAUACCCAGGCAGAAAUACAUGAAUCCACUUUGAGGUUUAGUGGAAAAAGAUACACCGUUGGCAGGUUGGAAAUGAAGCUAAGAAAAUGGCAACAAAACAAUCUGUAGUGCUAUUUAAUGAUGAUAAUCAGCAUUAUUCGGUUAAAUUUCAGAAUGAAAUCAGACACACUUCAGAGGGGAUAAUUGGACAAAAGAUUAUUCAACAGCACAGAAACUUGAUGGAUAAACAUUUAUAAUAAAGACACAUUUGCAUGAGAUAUAUUUUUGGGCUACAUUAUAAGUUAAUCAGAAACUAAGAGUUUUCCAUGACAUUACAGAAAUGUCAAUCACGUCCUUGCAGUUUCCUUACAUUAAUUACCUUCAGUUCCUCAUGCUAAAGGGUGAUUAUGAACAUUAUGGUUUUCCCUUCAUUCUGUCAAAUGCAGUAAUAUGCAGAACAAUUAUUUAGUGAUCUCAGUUCCAUCCUGAUUUGAUGUGCUUCAUUUCUAACUCAAUGCAGCCUGAUUACUUUGAGUUGUAGUGCUUUUGAUGAGCUAGAUGGAAGCCUACUGCUCUAUGUUAGGACCAAACACUAUACAGGACAGAAAUCCUGCAGUGUCCUCACGUGUUAAAAUCUUAUGGCCGUUUAAUAAUUAGCAGAUUGAAUGCAUUAUACAAAACUGGUGGAGAUUUCAAUAGAUUCUGGGCAUUUAACAUUUCUCAUCCAGGCAGGGGAAACCUUCAACUUCUUGUCUUCACUUUAAUAUUUUAAUAUCUCAUUUGCGCCACUCCCUGAGCUGGAUCAUGCCUUACACUCUCAGUGACUUUCAGAUCUGCUCAAUGCACUAUGGGAGGAAAGUACUGGUGCUCUAAUGGUUAUACCAUCAAAGAACAGCAAGCCAGCAAAAGACUAAAGGUGGAGUACGUGUUUCAUGAUAUUGAAUAAAUCCUCAUGAGUAGAACAACUUGACUAUAAAUGAGGUGCAGUGGCAAACCAAAACUCACUUUUCAUUUAAUCCUCUGAUUUUGAUUUCAUAAUAAUAGACUGCUAACUAGGUCAUUACAUUUAUAAUCCUUUAGAUUUUUUUUUUGACAGUUUAUAGUCAGCAUUUUUUCUUCAAUAGCCAUUGAUAAAUUAACAUCAAGUAAUUAUCUCACAAUAUAGUCCGCCAUUCCCCGCACUGGAUUCAGCUUGCCUACCUAAACACGAGGGAUUCUCAAAGAAAGAAAAAAAAGCAUUCAACUGUCAAAACACUGGUGGCUGUUAUUGUGGAGCAACAACAGGAAACGCAGUGUGUCUAUCACGCGGCUACCGGCUAGUACAGACUACAAUUGUUCAUUACUGCAUCUACAAAACUAGACAUGAUGAUGAUAUACAUGAUUUGCGAAACAAUGAAUUCAACAGUGGUUAUGUGUAAACUUUUAUUUUCUUCAAAUAAACGCUGUGUUUUGUGUUACUGGGUGAGUUCAACUAAAAAAUCUGGUUCUUUAAAACACAGAAGUGUCUGCUCCAUGACGCUAUUUUUUUUCAAAAUUCUGUAUGAUUUGUAGCGAUGCAAUAUGCCACGCUGAGAUGAAAUUUCUUGUUUGUGUAAGAAUAAAGUAAAUAACUAUA